UACGGGGGGAGCAGGCGUUGUUCGGAUUUACUGGGCGUAAAGGGCGCGUAGGCGGCGUGACAAGUCACUUGUGAAAUCUCCGGGCUUAACUCGGAACGGUCAAGUGAUACUGUCGUGCUAGAGUACAGAAGGGGCAACUGGAAUUCUCGGUGUAGCGGUGAAAUGCGUAGAUAUCGGAAGGAACACCAGUGGCGAAAGCGGCUUCCUGGUCCAGCACCGACGUUCAGGCACGAAAGCGUGGGGAGCAAACAGG
rnacentral:rRNA from 1 species